AGAGUUUGAUCCUGGCUCAGGAUGAACGCUAGCGGCAGGCUUAACACAUGCAAGUCGAGGGGCAGCGCGGGAUAGCAAUAUCCUGGCGGCGACCGGCGGAAGGGUGCGUAACGCGUGAGCGACAUGCCCGUUGCCCGGGGACAACCGGUGGAAACGCCGACUAAUCCCCGAUGGGAUAUUGUGCCGCAUGGCACGAUAUUGAAAGUUACGGCGGCGACGGAUUGGCUCGCGUCCGAUUAGCUUGUUGGCGGGGUAACGGCCCACCAAGGCUACGAUCGGUAGGGGUUCUGAGAGGAAGGCCCCCCACAAUGGGACUGAGACACGGCCCAUACUCCUACGGGAGGCAGCAGUGAGGAAUAUUGGUCAAUGGGCGGAAGCCUGAACCAGCCAUGCCGCGUGCGGGAAGGAGGCCCUAUGGGCUGUGAACCGCUUUUGCCCGGGGGCAAUAAGGGCGUCGCGCACGUCCGAUGAGAGUACCAGGCGAAUAAGCAUCGGCUAACUCCGUGCCAGCAGCCGCGGUAAUACGGGGGAUGCGAGCGUUAUCCGGAUUCAUUGGGUUUAAAGGGUGCGUAGGCUGUGCGUCAAGUCGGGGGUGAAAUUCCGGUGCUCAACACCGGGGCUGCCCUUGAUACUGUCGCGCUGGAGUGCGGAUGCCGCCGGAGGAAUGAGUGGUGUAGCGGUGAAAUGCUUAGAUAUCACUCAGAACACCGAUUGCGAAGGCAUCUGGCGAAUCCGUAACUGACGCUGAGGCACGAAAGCGUGGGGAUAGAACAGGAUUAGAUACCCUGGUAUUCCACGCCGUAAACGAUGAUGGCUAACCGCCGGCGACACACUGUCGGUGGCCAAGCGAAAGCGAUAAGCCAUCCACCUGGGGAGUACGUCGGCAACGAUGAAACUCAAAGGAAUUGACGGGGGCCCGCACAAGCGGAGGAACAUGUG
rnacentral:rRNA from 1 species